rnacentral:misc_RNA from 1 species
AACGCACAUUGCACUCCUUGGUAUUCCGAGGAGUAUGCCUGUUUCAGUAUCAUGAGCACUCUCACACCUAACCUUUGGGUUUUGGCGUGGAAUUGGAAUGCGCCAACUCUUCACAGGUUGGCCCUUCUAAAAUGUAGUUCUUGGCUGUCACCUAACACAGCAGUUUGGCCUAAUAGUUUUGGCAUUCAUUGUCAAAUCUUUGGCUAACAUUUGCUCCAGGAGUCAGUCUCGAUAAUACAGAAAACUCAUUCAAAUUUUGAUCUGAAAUCAGGUAGGACUACCCGCUGAACUUAA